UGCUUAUAUGUUACUAGUGGUUGGUCUGCCCUACGAGCGGGUGAAUUUACAUUGAAACUAUUUUUUAUUAAAAUGUAUUUUUAUUUUAUUAAUCAAACAAUAUUUUAAUUUCAUUAAUCGAAAAAAAUAUUUUAUAUUUUUUGGAAAUUUACUUUUAAUAAAUAUAAUUUUUUUUUUCUAAAAUCAAAUUGUAAAUUUUAUUAAAUUUUGUUGGUCUGAGUUGAAAGGACUACUAACAUUUGUUUUGUUAGAAAACACAAAAAUUAUGAAAUUAAACAGUUAAGAAAAUCUAAAUAAUAAAUAAUAAAUAUUUUUUAUUUAUAAGUGUAUAAUUUUAAUAUUAUUACAAUAAUUAAUUUAAUUAUGAUAAUAAAUUAAUCCAUUUCCAAGCUAAAUCAAUUAAAAAUAUAAUAUAAUGUGAUAAAAUCGUAAAGAAAUAUAUUUUAAAGUAAUAUAUAAAUAGUUUCAAUAAUGUCACAAAUAAUAAUUAAUAUAUAUAUAUAUAUAUAUAUAUAUUAUUUAACAAUAAAUGAUGUUUUGUAAUAUAUAUAUUUGUUUCCAUUUAUAUUAGAUUUUCAUUAAUAAUGAUUAUUCAUCUUGAUUUGGUGUACUAUAAUAUUAAAACUAUAUACAGAUGUUCAUUUGUUGUUUGGAUUUUUUCGUUUAUGCCACUUUGUGUUAUAAUGUUGUUCUUUUAGCUGAGGAUGUCUAUUUGAGGUUUGUAAUGGUUGAGAACUGUUUGUUUUAGAUUUGUCGGUUGAGGGUUAGAAUAAGUGUGCAAUCUGGUCAUCUAGAUAAUGUGCUGUUGAUUAGUUGGUGUAUAGUCUGUGUUUCAUGUAUUUACAUUUGAAACGUGUGCGUGUCGUGUGGCUGAAGUAAGUGUGGUCCGUAUAGUUUAGAUGUAAGCUGCUCAACUAAGUGACUUUUUUUACUUUUUUUUUUUUAGACUUAUUUUACUUGUGGUGAAGUUAUUUGUAUAUUUCUUGUGUUAUAUCAUAUAUAGUCUGGAUACAUCGAGUAUUUGGGGUGGUUCAUUUGUAACCUAGUUUUUGCCUCAUGGUGUAAUCGAUUGUGUGUUGUGACGUUGGUUGUGUCAACCAUAGUUAGUGUGAGUGAAUCUGGUAUUAGAGAAGCCGGGAAGGAGAGUAGUGGUAGAAGGGGUAGGCGUGUAGGCUACGUUUUCCUUUUUAAGGGUAUUAGCGUUUGUUGUUUCCGUAUGUUUUGUGAGCUUAUGUAGCAAGUGUGAUAAGUGUUGGAUGGAUGUGGAAACUCAAUAAUAGUGUUAUUAGGCCGUGUUUAAUUGUUUUACUUUAACUAUUUUUCUUUUUGAUAAUUCUUAAAAUAAAACAUAAAGAACAUUAUAUUUUUAAGUUCGAGAAGUGAAAAAUAUCAUCAUGUUUUAUUAAAUCCAAAUUUUAAUCAUAUAAACAAAAUACUAUAGAAGAUAAAUAUAGUUAUCUAUUUUUAUAUAAAAUCAAAUAAACUAAAUAUAAACUAAAAAUCAACAUAAGCUCACCUGAUCCAACAGAUUUUCAAUGUUUUCUUUAACAAAAUAUAAGUUAUAUAGAAAUAUUAUGGGUGCACAGGCCCCCAUAUACAAUAGCCUGACUUCGCCCCUGGUUGCUACUCAGUUGCAGUUGUAACAGUUUCUGCAUUCACUGGCUAGUGUGAACGUUAAGAGUCAUUGUGAGCGGGUUGUGUGGACGGUGGGCUGUUUGUGACAUAAAGCAGUUUAAAUACUCUAAUAUUAUCCCCCCAAAGAUCAAGCAUCAGAACCAUUUUAAUUGGCCGGGAACCAGCUGCAUCUUACAUUAGUAAACGUAAAGCUAGACUAAAUAGAUGGUGGUACCAACAGCUUAUGACUCUUGAGCAUCUCAGAGGUGGAAGAGAUGGAAGGUGAGUUAGGACGAAAAUUGCGAUGAUGAAGUCAAGGUUCUUAUUACUUCUUUAAGGGGCAUAGAUGUAGGUUGAUAUUUUAAUGUUGUUCGUUAUAAAUCACAUGUUGCAUUGCUGCUAUUAAAUUUCGUUCUUUCCUAUUCAGAUUCCACACUGUUUUUCGUGCUUAACAGGUGGUCUCCAAAAUUAUGCAACAUUAUAUAACAUUUAAAAAAUUACUUGUUAAGUAAAAUACAAACUAGUUGUUUUCUUCUGCUAA